GGCCUUUUGAAAAUGAUUUAAGGUCUAGCCUGCCCAAUGAUGUAAUAAUUUAAUGGCCGCAGUAUUCUGACUGUGCAAAGGUAGCAUAAUCAUUAGUUUUUUAAUUGAAAGCUUGUAUGAAAGGUUUGAUGAGAAAAAAGCUGUCUCUAUAUAAAUUUUUAGAAUUUUAUUUUUAAGUUAAAAAGCUUAAAUUUUCAUUGAAGACGAGAAGACCCUAUAGAGUUUGAUUUAUACGAUAGUAAGUAAAAUUUAGUAAUUAAAAACUUAUUUAUUAUUAUAUAAAUUUGGUUGGGGUGAUUGAAAAAUUUAUAAAACUUUUUUUGUAUUUUUACAUUUAUUUGUGAAUAUUUGAUCCUUUAUAGAUUAUAAGAUGAAAUUACCUUAGGGAUAACAGCGUAAUUUUUUUUAGAGUUCUUAUCGAAAAAAGAGAUUGCGACCUCGAUGUUGGAUUAAAAAUAAAUUUUUGGUGUAGAAGCUAAUAAAUUAGGUCUGUUCGACCUUUAAAUUUUUACAUGAUCUGAGUUUAAACCGGUGUAA
rnacentral:rRNA from 1 species